ACGAACGCUGGCGGCGUGCCUCAUCCAUGCAAGUAGCACGCUGAAGGAGGAGCUUGCUUCUCCGGAUGCGUUGCGAACGGGUGAGUAACGCGUAGGUAACCUGCCUGGUAGCGGGGGAUAACUAUUUGAAACGAUAGCUAAUACCGCAUAACAGUAGAUGUUGCAUGACAUUUGCUUAAAAGGUGCAAUUGCAUCCCUACCAGAUGGACCUGCGUUGUAUUAGCUAGUUGGUGAGGUAACGGCUCACCAAGGCGACGAUACAUAGCCGACCUGAGAGGGUGAUCGGCCACACUGGGACUGCGACACGGCCCAGACUCCUACGGGAGGCAGCAGUAGGGAAGCUUCGGCAAUGGACGGAAGUCUGACCGAGCAACGCCGCGUGAGUGAAGAAGGUUUUCGGAUCGUAAAGCUCUGUUGUAAGAGAAGAACGAGUGUGAGAGUGGAAAGUUCACACUGUGACGGUAUCUUACCAGAAAGGGACGGCUAACUACGUG
rnacentral:rRNA from 1 species